GCCCGUAAGUCUCGUUUACUUUCACUUUUGAUUUACCACUUCCGGGUACAUCGGCAGACUUAUUUACCGUUACGCAUAUAGGUAACCCGAAGAACUCGAGGGAUAUAGAAGUUAAAUUUGUUUCGGUCCUCUUCAGAUUUGAAGGAAUGGAUAGCACGUGUCAAAAAAUGCAGAUGUAUAGACAAAGAGGUAUAUGACAAGUAUAGAAUAUACAGUUGUUCAAUAUGGACCAUUAAUCAACUGUUUGCACUGCCUGUGAUCCUGAAAUAUCUAUACAUCAAAGAUAAAAAGGGAAAAGAUGAAGGAGGAUUUGUCCAUGAAGACCUUUAUUGCAACUACAAUCUUCCAGUUCCUUAAUUUGAGAAUGAUAUCAGAGAACACACAGUUACAGUGAAAUAUUAGUUUAAUAUAAGCCACUGAAAAUAGUCAAAUGUACUUUCCUGAAGAAGAUGAAUGACAUCCAGCACAAAAAUCUUAAUGUAUAAAGAGUAUGAUUUAUGGUGUUUGACACUAUGAUCUUGUUAACAUGUUAAUGUCACAAUGAUAGAAACAGAGUAAAAUAUCCACAUUUCAUUGCAGUUUUAAGUAUUAAAACUAGAUACUCUAUAUAUACCAAAGCUGAUAACACACCAGAGAUAAGGUUUUUUCAUGGAAUCACAGUAGAGUCAUGUGACAUUAUGGACAUUAAAUGACUAUGAAGUAAAGAUUAGUAAAAAUAUUAUAUAUCAUCUACUACUAAUAUUGUGAGGUAAUCAUUGAUAAGCUCACAAAUUUGCAAUCAAAGCUUUGAUAUCAAGCUGAACAUUUUUCAAUUAGAAUAUGAUUUAUAACUCUAUGAUAAUUUGUUCAUGUUAAUUUUUAAAGUCUUUACAUUUGUAAAAGGAAAUAUUCUUAUUCUUGUAUCAGUAGGCAUUCACAGUGUAAAGUUACAUUGUCCAAAUAACUAAUAAUAAUUCCAAGUGCUUUCCUGAAGUUUUUCUUCCACUGGAAAAUCAGUGUGAUAUAUAUGCUAAGCAGUGCACUAUAAAUUGUGUAAAAAUAAAAGUUUAUUAAACUUA